UACGUAGGGUGCGAGCGUUAAUCGGAAUUACUGGGCGUAAAGCGUGCGCAGGCGGCCUGUUGCGUCCGCUGUGAAAUCCCGGGGCUCAACCCUGGGCGUGCAGUGGAUACGGGCAGGCUGGAGGCAGGCAGGGGAGAACGGAAUUCCCGGUGUAGCGGUGAAAUGCGCAGAUAUCGGGAAGAACACCCGUGGCGAAGGCGGCUCUCUGGGACGGUACUGACGCUGAGACGCGAAAGCGUGGGGAGCGAACAGG
rnacentral:rRNA from 1 species